rnacentral:rRNA from 1 species
AGUGAACGCUGGCGGUAGGCCUAACACAUGCAAGUCGAACGGCAGCACAGUAAGAGCUUGCUCUUACGGGUGGCGGGUGGCGGACGGGUGAGGAAUACAUCGGAAUCUACUUUUUCGUGGGGGAUAACGUAGGGAAACUUACGCUAAUACCGCAUACGACCUACGGGUGAAAGCGGGGGAUCUUCGGACCUUGCGCGAUUGAAUGAGCCGAUGUCGGAUUAGCUAGUUGGCGGGGUAAAGGCCCACCAAGGCGACGAUCCGUAGCUGGUCUGAGAGGAUGAUCAGCCACACUGGAACUGAGACACGGUCCAGACUCCUACGGGAGGCAGCAGUGGGGAAUAUUGGACAAUGGGCGCAAGCCUGAUCCAGCCAUACCGCGUGGGUGAAGAAGGCCUUCGGGUUGUAAAGCCCUUUUGUUGGGAAAGAAAAGCAGCAGGUUAAUACCCCGCUGUUCUGACGGUACCCAAAGAAUAAGCACCGGCUAACUUCGUG